rnacentral:rRNA from 1 species
AUUGAACGCUGGCGGAAUGCUUUACACAUGCAAGUCGAACGGCAGCACGGGGCAACCUGGUGGCGAGUGGCGAACGGGUGAGUAAUACAUCGGAACGUGCCCAAUCGUGGGGGAUAACGUAGCGAAAGUUACGCUAAUACCGCAUACGAUCUACGGAUGAAAGCGGGGGAUCGCAGGACCUCGCGCGAGUGGAGCGGCCGAUGUCAGAUUAGGUAGUUGGUGGGGUAAAGGCUCACCAAGCCAACGAUCUGUAGCUGGUCUGAGAGGACGACCAGCCACACUGGAACUGAGACACGGUCCAGACUCCUACGGGAGGCAGCAGUGGGGAAUUUUGGACAAUGGGCGCAAGCCUGAUCCAGCCAUUCCGCGUGCAGGAUGAAGGCCUUCGGGUUGUAAACUGCUUUGUACGGAACGAAACGGACGAGCUCUAAUACAGUUGCUAAUGACGGUACCGUAAGAAUAAG